CUCCAACAGAACACAGUGGCCUGCGUCAUCCUCUCAUUGUCAGGCAGAGGGAGACAGGGAGACAAGCAGGAUAGGCCUGGAGGAGAAAUCCUGAUGAAGAGAUAGAACCAAAUGAUAGUAGUGAAAGAGUUCCUCUUGAACUGCACUAACCUGACCACCCUCUACAUGAUCUCCUACCACAUAGAAGG